GGUUUUCCCCUUUUUUCUUCUUUCCUUCCCUAUUUCUAGAAGCGAGAAACUUCCCUAGCUUGCUAACUAUUUCUUGUUCACAUGUCAUCGAUCAUUGCUUGUGCCUUACAACAUGGCUGUCCAAACCAUUCAUCUUGUGUGCUUCACUAUGGAUGGGCCAUUUGGACUCCAAUAAUUGAAGCCCCUCACCAUCCUCACACAGUGAUGAUCGUAUUUCAAUGGGAUUUUGCCAUGUGGCCCAUCCACUGUGAGAUAGCAGUGCAACUUGGGUUGGCUUAACCCAACCGCAACUGGCUCAGUCCGUAAUUUUAGUCAGGUCGGGACAGUGGGGUUGAGGAUGGGUUGGGUUGGGUCGGGUCGGGUUGGGUGAGGCUCAGGCUCCCGUAACCACUCAUCUCUUCCUCUCUCUCAAAAGUUGUGCAUGCAACAACAACAUUGAGCAAGGAGCAACAUAUCUUAGAGGUGAGUCUUAAGGACAGUUUCAAUGCUUUACACUGCAGUGGGCCCCACCCACAAGGUUUUGUGUUCAUGUGAAAUACUUGUACGCUAAUCUGGUGAGGGAGUUUUGAUACUCCAAUAUGUAUGACACUUGAAGCUCUGGCCACCCAACAGCUGCACGCGUGGCAUGAAUUGACUCAAAUAAAACCAACUACAUUGUGGGGCCUGCUACAGCGUUAAUCACGUACCAGAUUGGUUGGACAGUCCUAUCCUUUGAUUUGUGGGGAGCUUGUUUGUUGAAACAAGGCCAUCGGAUGAUUUGAUUUGAAUCACUUAUGCUCAUUGGGUCCAAUCCUUGAAUGCAUGUUUAUCAUGUAUGAUAGUAUCAAAAGAUUUAUAAAGAACUGGUUGUGAGAAAAUAAUCACCUGCACAACACCACAAUCUGUUCAAAUCACAUGUUAUUCGUUAUCAUCAGAUGUUGUUACCACCCAAUGGAUGAGUUGGAUAUAUGAAAAUAACUUGACCUUUUGGUAUGCUAUCAUCUAGAAACAUAUCAUGCCGCUUUACAUGUUACACUAACGCUACACAUGGGAACAACAAUACUCUAGCUUUAACUCCAAAUCUAAGCACCGAUGUCGAUACUACUAUUGUUAUUAAUGUAUCUGUAAGUAUCAUGUAACUAUAAAAGAUUGUAUAAAACAAUUAUAAAGUGCUGAUGGGGGAAAGCCAUAUCAUGCAACAUUUAACUACUGUUAUAAGGGGUUUGGGUGUGUUGCUACUUAAGGAACUAGCACACUCAAACGAUGCUUAGAGAAUGUCCUAUAUAUCCAUGCAUAAACAAUUGUUCCAAAUAACAACUCCUAAACUGUUCGUAAAUAGGUGCAAGUAAUGUUGCUAACUGGAAAUUCAAUUAAGAAUUCUAUUGGUAAACAAUUUCUAGAAUGAGUAUUGUCGAUGAGUUUAUUGUUAAUUUUUAUUGGAAGUGAAGGGUUUAGAGUUUUUAUAAUGUUGUGCAAUCUAAGCUCAAAUUUAUAUCAUGUACCACUAUGCCUAAGGACUAAAUGGAACUAUACUGAGUGAAAGAAGAAAGUUGAAAGAGAAAUCGGGGCCCUUAGCACACGUAUGCGUCACCAAUGAGCUCUGGACUUCUAUUCAAACUUUGAUAUGUCUAAUUGCCAUCAUAUUGAUACGGAUUGGAAUUUACAAAAGAAUAUUAUAAAUUUUCAUGUGAUACUAACGUUGUAUAGUGAUGAGUUCAUUGACUAUAAUAUUGACUUGUAUUUGUUGGCAUGAAGUAUAGAAAAAUUGUGGAUAAUAACCAAAGAUAAUGUGAGUUUGAAUGAUCUUGCGAUUUAGAUUUUAAAGAGAAAGUUCAAUAAAAAGAAUGAAAUGCUAAAUGCUAAUAGAAGCUGAAUUCUUUCACGUGUUGUUGUGCACAUAUCUUGUAAAAGAUAUGGAAGUGGUCAUGAGCGUCAUACUUGUAUCCGAAACAAUGUGAGAAAUUCACAAAGUAUACUGAGGCGGUUGUGCUUGAAUGGUUAUACAUACUGGAACUCUACAUGCUUUAUGUUAUAUUCUGCUUUACAGCUUCAAGAGGCAUUUGAAUUGUUAUAAGAACAUGAUUUGAAUUAUCAAAAAGAAGUUAAGGAUUGGUUCCUUAUUGAGGUAGAUUGGCUAGGCACCAAUACGAAUUUUCACAAAAACUAGAUAGGAUUUUGUGGCUUUUUUUUUUUUUUUUUUUUUUUUUUUUGAGAAUUUUAUCCUGAUUACAACACACAAAUUUUACCCCUAUGGGAUUUUAUGUAAAUUGUGUGCAAAAUUUUACCUGAUUGUAACAGAAAUUUUUUACUCCUCAUGGGAUUUUAUGCAAAUUGUGUCCAAUUUUUUUAGCCUGAUAAUAAUACAGAAUUUGCACAAAAUUCCUCAAUUUGCACACAAUUUACUCAAAAUCCCAUAGCAAGUAAAAUUUGUGUUGUUAUUAGGUUAAAAAUUAUCUAAAAUUUUUCGUGAAAGCUUAGCUAGAUUCCAAUCUAGCUCCAUAGUGGAUCCAUCCUUAACCUGAAACCCUAAAGUAGACUCUAUACAAAGUUCCAUCGUGUACAAACAUCUAAGAACAAUGACCUCUUGCUCAUGAUCAACUCUCCCUUCAUACUUCCUUAAUUUUUAUUGUCAUGACGGAAAACUCAUAUCUUGGUGAACUUCUUGCAUAUUUUACGUUGUUACGAAUAUGAAGUAUUAAGUCUUGACCUCUUUUAUUCUCUCUUUAACAAUGAGGUUUAAGAUGUGUGCACAUUAUUGCAUGUGAAAGAGUUCAACUAUUAGUAUCAACCCAUUCUUGUUAUAAAACUCUCUUCAAAGUUUGAAUCAGUGCUGGGACUCAAAUUAUUCAUGGUUAUUGUGCAUAAUUCUUCUAUACAUCAUGUCAACAAGUAUAACUUAAUAUUACACUCAACAACCUCACUACUAUAUGGUAUUAGUUAUCAUAGGGAAAUUUAUAAUUUUCUUUUGUAACUUCCAAUUCAUAUCAAUAUAAUGCACGAUAAGGCACAUAUUCUAUUUAUUUAUUUUUAUUUUUUAUAGAAGUUUAGAGGUUGGUAGGCAUCCUCGUUAUGCCUAGGGCUAUACUUUCUUUUUCAACUUCUCUCUCACUUAAAUACAACUCCAUGUUAUCCUUAGCUACAAUGGUAUGUGAAUAAGUUUGAGCUGUAGAUCACAGGAUAAUACACGAAAACUAGAACCCUUCAUUUUCAACAAAAUUGAAAGGCAAGUUGUCAACAAUAAUCGUCCUAGAAAGUGCUUCCCGACAAUUUUAAUAAUUGAAAUUUCAAUUAGCAACACCAUUUUUACCUACUUAUGUGAAAGCUAGGGGGUGUUUUCUCAAAUCUUUGUUGUUGUAUGGAUAUUUAGGACCCUUCUCUAAAUGUUGUCUAAGUCUGCUAGUUCCUCGAGCUGGCACACCCUAACUCCUUAAACAGUAGUUGCUUGUUGCACAAUCUGGCUUUCCCCUGUUAGCUGUUUUUUACUCUAUAAAAUAAUCCCGCACAGCAGAAACUGUUUUAUACACCCCUUUACAUCUAAAUGAUACUUCAGAUACAUCAGUAGUAGCAGUAGUAUUGACAUUGCUACUCGAAAUCAAAGUUUUGAGCUGGAGUAUUCUUGUCCACCUUGUUUGACAUGUAAUGUGGCAUCAUGUAAAUUUCUAGAACAUAGUUUACUAAAAAGUUUAAAGUUGUUUUGAUACUUUAAGAUCCAAUUCAUUCUAUGGUGGGAUUAUAAUGAAAUAGCACGUGAUUUGAA